rnacentral:rRNA from 1 species
UACGUAGGGGGCAAGCGUUGUCCGGAUUUAUUGGGCGUAAAGAGCGUGUAGGCGGCCAUACAGGUCCGUUGUGAAAACUCAGGGCUUAACCCUGAGCUUGCAGUGGGUACGGGCAGACUAGAGUGCGGUAGGGGAGACUGGAAUUCCUGGUGUAGCGGUGAAAUGCGCAGAUAUCAGGAGGAACACCGGUGGCGAAGGCGGGUCUCUGGGCCGUAACUGACGCUGAGGAGCGAAAGCAUGGGGAGCGAACAGG